GGAGUCCAACGUGUGCGCAAGUCAUUGGGCGUUGCAAACCCAUAGGCGAAAUCAAGGUGAAGGUGAGCUUGCUCACCCCGGGGAGGAGGGGCCGGCCGUGUUGCGCCUUGCGCGUCACGGUUCCCCGCACUCCCGCGGCGCCUCACGCUCAUUGCGAGCCGAGGCGGACCUAGAGCGCACACGUUGGGACCCGAAAGAUGGUGAACUAUGCCUGGCCAGGACGAAGCCAGGGGAAACCCUGGUGGAGGUCCGUAGCGGUUCUGACGUGCAAAUCGAUCGUCAGAGCUGGGUAUAGGGGCGAAAGACUAAUCGAACCAUCUAGUAGCUGGUUCCCUCCGAAGUUUCCCUCAGGAUAGCUGUCGCCCGUGUGAGACGAGUCUCAUCCGGUAAAGCGAAUGAUUAGAGGCAUUGGGGUCGAAACGACCUCAACCUAUUCUCAAACUUUAAAUGGAUGAGAACCCCGGCUUGCUUGAUGACUUGAGUUGAAGCCGGGGCUCGGAUCCGGGUGGCAAGUGGGCCAUUUUUG
rnacentral:rRNA from 1 species